CGGCUCCAAAUGCCUGCGCCCGGCGGCGCCGCUGCGUUGCUAUGGGGACGGAGUGGCAAGUGACGGCCGCCUCAUCCUGGCCCCGGCCCGGCCCUGGGAGGGCCCUGCGGGGGCGCAGCCGGGAGCCCAGCGGGUAAAGGAUCAUCUUUUUAAAAGCCAUUUGCUUCUGAAGGUGUUUUUUACCAUAAAAGAAAAGCCAGUUCCAAAUCCACCAUAUGUAAUGAAACAUUGAUAUAUGAUGGUGACAGCAGAUCCUUGGAUACACUUGGGUUGAGUUGUUUCAAGAAUUUUUUUAGUUUCAGGUUGUAAAAUGUACUUGUUUUUAGUGAGACCAGAUACAUCCUUGGAAAUAAGAUAACUUAGGAUGAGUUUCAACAUUAGUUAAGGUACUGACCAAUCUGGAGAUGAGACUCAUUGUCUGUUGUAUGUUUAACAAUGUUCAUAAUACAUUGUAUACCAUUAUAGCAAAAAGACUGUGGCUAGGGCUCAGUUAUUUUGAUACAUCGUAUUUCUUGCAUGUAGAUAGGUCUGUGACGUUAACAAUAAUCUAUGUAGCUGCUUUUUCUUAGAAAGGACAAACUCCAUCCCAUUUUUCACUUUCUCAUGAUUCUGCCCUUGUCAUGGAGAUAUUUGUCUACAAGAAGAUGUAACCAUACUUGCAAGUGGCUUUUAAUCACAGAUAAACAAGGAAUCUUCAAGUCCAAGAAUCCAGGAUGCUGAUUACCUGGUUUCAUGAAAUAAAUGAAUGAGUGGUCUUUGGUACUUGUGGUCUGCUGUGAAGUAACCAAGGUACAGAAGAACGCAGGGGAAGUAAACAGAUUCUCUUACAUAGGGAGGAGGAAUGAAUGGGCGAGUACCUCUAGCUGAGAAGGCUUUGUCUGAGAGCUAUGCCCGGCUUCGUUACAGGGACGCUUCCUUGCUUAUCUGGCAGCAACAGCAGCAAAAGUUGGAAUCUGUACCGCCUGGGACUUACUUGAGUAGGAGCCGGAGCAUGUGGUACUCACAGUACGGAAAUGAGGCCAUAUUAGUAAGAGACAAAAACAAACUUGAAGUCUCUCGGGAUACUGGACAGUCGAAAUUUUGCACUAUUAUGUAAUUUUUAUGUUGAAUACUUCAUUCUUGAGUCCAAGCAUCAAGAAUUAGCCAAGAUUGCAUUUAACCGUCAUGUUAUCUAUUUCUCAUCAUUCCUGAGGCAAUUUUUUUGAACAUUAAGCCCCUCCAGGGGUCAACUUUUCUAACAUAAAGUGUUAUCUGGAAGAAGAGAGGAAGCUUGAAGUGGAUUUCUACACGCUUAGGACAAUUUAGCUCUAAUGGUAAAUAAAACAGUAAUGGGUGCCCAUUGGCUACAUUUGGACUAUCCCAUGUAAAUGGAAAUCUAGGAUGUGCUGCUGCUUGACAGGGAUUUGGUUACCCCAUAAUCUUGCUGUUAUGGCAACUCUGUACAGUAGCUUGUGUUCUUCUGAAUAGAUCCAUGCAAAGUGCCCAUUUACAACAACGAAAACAUUGGAAGGGCAUGUUUGUGGGAUUUUGUUGUGUUU